GAUGGCGAACACACCCGGAAGUAGCUACAGUGGCCCACAGCAGAUAGGAUUUUAAUAUUUCCUUCAAACAUGAUGACAACUGAUUUACAAUGGUAAAAUAAGAGUCGCAUUUUCCUGCAUCGUAUGGUGCGACCGUUGUGACUUUCAGAGGAACCUCAUGCUUCUUUGACAGAGCCUGUCUGAUCUGCUGCAGCUGAGCCUCCCUGUGUUCUUCACCAUGCCGCUGGUGUUGGAUGCUGUGUGGGCGCUGUGGAGCAUUGGAGCUGGCAUCUAUGACUACUUCCACACCAGUGCCAUGGAGGAGAGGAUCCACACGCUGGAAAAUGUCCUCUCUAUCCACCAGUUUGUGAUUGCAGGCCUGUCUGCAGGCCUCAUCCUGCUCAUGACCUACAUACUCUUGAGAAAACACUGAAAACUGACCCACCAAGGCCAGACACCCACUACAUGUCGUUUUGUUGCUGGACAUUUCACGUCACCCAGAGUAGUUUACAUCCUGAUGCUGUCUGGAGUGACAAUGCAGAUUAUGUGAUUGCUCACACUUGAAGAUCAAGCAUGUUCAGCAACAUCAGGAUGUCCCAGAUGAGGUCAGGAGCACUGAUGGGAAACAAAACCGAGCAACAAAACUCCAUCCUAUCCUUCUGUCUGUUUGUCCCUGUGGUUUGGAUGUUAAAUUGGCCUGAAUAAUACUAACACAAAAUCAUAACAGCUUCUCAAGGCAACUUUGCACUUUGACUUUUUUUUUGCCAAGCUUGAAGGACAUUACUGUCGAGAAAAACCCUACAAGAUGAUGCCAUUUAUUUAAACACCUUCCAGUGUGUGCUUAGGGGUGAAGACAUUGGGUCAGCGGAGGGAUGCUUUAGAAUUUUAAACUUGGAUCUGGUACAAAAGUCAAAUGCGGCUGUGGUUACUACUACAUUUUUUAACCUGUCAUCACAAAAUCACAACAUAAUUACCUCAGUAUCAACUGUUAGUCAUGUUAUGUCUUUCUCAUGUUUUUGCAGUGCUUAUUAAUUUCUCUAAGACCAUUAACCCAAGACACUGACAUAAUUAUCUAAUUUUCUUACAUCACGACCAUCAUUAUCUCUAUGUUGAGAUUCGUGUGACUAUAGAUAACUUUUAAGUCCACUAAACAGUGUCUGAAGAAAAAAACACUCCAGUUAAAUCUCUAUCUUUGGAUAUUAGGCUAAAACAUUAAAUAUGAUAAUUAAGUUGAGAUCUUGAGACAGCAGGCUAUAUAAUAUGAACACUGAUGGAGGCUCUCUGUUUUAAUAAUUCCUCAUUGAGGUGGGGCAUUUCCUAUCAAUAAUUUUAUCCAGCACUUUAUCCUGCAUUUCAAAGGUAAAUUGGGUCUGGGGAUUUGACUCCCAAAUAAGUGGUUUGUUUCACUCUUUAAAAGUUGGUGUCAGGUUAUGAUGUUGCAGGGACACUGCAGUACUUUGAUGGGAAUAUGUGGCUGUGGUAUUGUCUAGGCUGAGUUCAGCAGGUCAGUCAGUGGUACAUAUGUUUGUGUGCCUUCAGCUACUGUGGUCUGUAAUUAUUGUGGUUCUAGGUGAAAGACCCCAAACACCAGAAUAAGCACAAAAAGCACAGUUAAGAAGUUCACUGGGAAAUGAAUUCAUCCCUAACUUGAUUUAUUGUUUAUUUUUCAUGCUUAGGAAAAGGCACUGGAAGUGAAGGUUAGUCUAUUUAUUUAGUGUAGUCUGAUGUGUUUUGUGAGUGUGUGUUAAUUUGUCCAUGUUUACAUUUUCACCAACACUGUUUUCAGUCUGUCAUCCAAAAUUACUUACUAGGUGUUUAAAAAAUUAGUCUGAUAAUAGUAAGUUUUGUUCACUUUUACUUCUGUACCUGCUUACUUUCUGGGGUUCAUUGCCAAUGUACUGUACGCACUACUGUGUAUAACUUUGACAAACCAUUACUAUGGCUACCAUUAAAGGGAAUAUGUUUGAAUAA